rnacentral:rRNA from 1 species
GAUGAACGCUGGCGGCAGGCUUAACACAUGCAAGUCGAGCGGAUGAAGGGAGCUUGCUCCUGGAUUCAGCGGCGGACGGGUGAGUAAUGCCCAGGAAUCUGCCUGCUAGUGGGGGAUAACGUCCGGAAACGGGCGCUAAUACCGCAUACGUCCUGAGGGAGAAAGUGGGGGAGCUUCGGACCUCACGCUAUCAGAUGAGCCUAGGUCGGAUUGGCUAGUUGGUGGGGUAAAGGCCUACCAAGCCGACGAUCCGUAACUGGUCUGAGUGGAUGAUCAGUCACACUGGAACUUAGACACGGUCCAGGCUCCUACGGGAGGCCGCAGUCGGGAAUAUUGGACAGUGGGGGAGAACCUUGUCCAGCCGGGCCAAGUCUGUGACGAAGGUCUUCGGAUUGUGAUGCCCUUUUAGUUGUGAGAAAGGGCAGUAAGUUGAUACCUUGCUGUUUUGACGUUACCAACAGAAUAAGCACCGGCUAACUACGUG